rnacentral:rRNA from 1 species
UACGGAGGGAGCUAGCGUUGUUCGGAAUUACUGGGCGUAAAGCGCACGUAGGCGGCUUUGUAAGUUAGAGGUGAAAGCCCGGGGCUCAACCCCGGAAUUGCCUUUAAGACUGCAUCGCUUGAAUCCGGGAGAGGUGAGUGGAAUUCCGAGUGUAGAGGUGAAAUUCGUAGAUAUUCGGAAGAACACCAGUGGCGAAGGCGACUCUUUGGCCUGUAACUGACGCUGAGGCACGAAAGCGUGGGGAGCAAACAGG